AAUGCCUCUACUCAAGGCUAUGACGAAAUAAUAAAAAUAAUGGACUUGGAGGGGAAAGUAACUCCUCAACAAUGCAAGAAGAAAUGGGAAAACCUAAAGAAAAAAUAUAAGGACUUGUCACUUCCAAAAACUGGGUCAGGGACAGAUGAGGGAGAAGUUACUGC